AUUCUGCCCAAGCGGGGAAGGAUGAGAAGCUUCGACCAAGGUUCGACUUAAGCGCCAGCGAGAGAGCGUUGCCGCAGGCAACGACCCGAAGGGCGAAGCGCGCAGCGCUGAGUAAUCCUUCCCCCACCACCA
rnacentral:sRNA from 2 species